UACGUAGGGGGCAAGCGUUGUCCGGAAUCAUUGGGCGUAAAGAGCGUGUAGGCGGCCCGAUAAGUCCGCUGUGAAAGUCCAGGGCUCAACCCUGGAAUGCCGGUGGAUACUGUCGGGCUCGAAUCCGGAAGAGGUGAGUGGAAUUCCUGGUGUAGCGGUGAAAUGCGCAGAUAUCAGGAAGAACACCAAUGGCGAAAGCAGCUUUCUGGGACGGUACUGACGCUGAGACGCGAAAGCGUGGGGAGCGAACGGG
rnacentral:rRNA from 1 species